rnacentral:tRNA from 1 species
GCGGGGUCCUGGACCGGCACACCGGUCUCCGGGACGCAGCCGGUCGGGUGCUGGACGUCGGCCAGCACCGGCCAGACCGCGUCCAGCAGCUCCGCG